AUUGAACGCUGGCGGCAGGCCUAACACAUGCAAGUCGAACGAGUGGCGGACGGGUGAGUAAUGUCUGGGAAACUGCCUGAUGGAGGGGGGUAACUACUGGAAACGGUAGCUAAUACCGCAUACCAUCAGAUGUGCCCAGAUGGGUUUAGCUUGUUGGUGGGGUAACGGCUCACCGGGGCGACGAUCCCUAGCUGGUCUGAGAGGAUGACCAGCCACACUGGAACUGGGACACGGUCCAGACUCCUACGGGGGGCAGCAGGGGGGAAUAUUGGACAAUGGGGGCAAGCCCGAGGCAGCCAUGGCGGGUGUAUGAAGAAGGCCUUCGGGUUGUAAAGUACUUUCAGCGGGGAGGCGUUACCCGCAGAAGAAGCAACGGCUAACUCCGGGCCAGCAGCCGCGGUAAUUCC
rnacentral:rRNA from 1 species